GAUUAACGCUGGCGGCGUGCAUAACACAUGCAAGUCGAACGAAGUGGCGGACGGGUGAGUAACGCGUGAGUAACCUGCCUUAGAGAUGGGGAUAGCCUCUGGAAACGGAGAAUAAUACCCAAUGCUCUAAGAUGGGCUUGCGUCUGAUUAGCGAGUUGGUGAGAUAAUAGCUCACCAAGGCACCGUUCAGUAGCCGGCUUGGGAGCGUGUACGGCAACAGUGAGACUGGGAGCCGGCCCAGACUCUACGGGAGGCAGCAGUGGGGAAGUUUGCACAAUGGGUGAAACCCUGAUGCAGCGACGCCGCGUGAUUUAGAAGGCCUUCGGGUUGUAAAAAGCUUUUGUAUAGGAAGCAGUACUAUACGAAUAAGGACCGGCUAAUUACGUGCCAGCCGCCGCGGUAAUAC
rnacentral:rRNA from 1 species